GUAAGCAAACUAUACACAUUUAAAUAUUAUAUUGAUGCAAAGUUGGAGGAGAGGGAAAAAAGAAGGUUGUAGAUUAAGAUCCAAUUACACCAAAAGCUCCAAGAUACUUUAUGAGAGAGUGAGAGGGGCCAGGUAUCAAUGAAGUGGAUUAUAUUUUCAACAAACUACUACACGUGAUGGCUAUGAGCUGUUCAUAGAUGAUAUGGCUACGUGACAUAGCCCACAACUUACUACUGUUACGGGAAAAACAUCUAGGCCAUCCCAAUGGUAGGUGGAAAUUAGUUAUUGCGAUGAUCCAGUAAUAGAACGUAUUAUUCUUCUGGUCUAAAGGAUUGGUUUCUAUCAUUUU
rnacentral:lncRNA from 1 species